rnacentral:rRNA from 1 species
UACGAAGGGGGCUAGCGUUGCUCGGAAUGACUGGGCGUAAAGGGCGCGUAGGCGGAUGGCUUUGUCGGGCGUGAAAUUCCAGGGCUUAACCUUGGGGCUGCGUUCGAGACGGGUUGUCUUGAGUGGGGAAGAGGGUCGUGGAAUUCCCAGUGUAGAGGUGAAAUUCGUAGAUAUUGGGAAGAACACCGGUGGCGAAGGCGGCCACCUGGACGGUAACUGACGCUGAGACGCGAAAGCGUGGGGAGCAAACAGG